CAGUCCGAGACAGCCCCCGGCUAUAAAUAGCGCCAGGCGCAUGGCUCUUCGGGAGGCGCUGAGAUUCCGGGCCCGGCGGCAGCGGGCAGCGGGUGCCUGUUAGAAACCGGGCAGCCGGCCUCUUCUCUUUGCCUUUUGGGGCUUCUUUUUGUAAUAGCAGCAGACUAGAAAAAGCGAGCUGGCUUGGAGGGAGUCCGCCCAGCGAUCCGAGUGCGCAUUGAUCAGUGUCGAGAGAAAAAAAAAGCUACAUAAAUAUAUAUUAUGUGGAUAAAUCUGUAGACAAGAGCUCUCUCGCGCGCUCUCCCUGUUUCUUCCUGUCUGUGUCUAUCUUCGCUUUUUUCCUUCUCGCAUCCCCAGCCUUCCAGAGCAACCCAAAUCUUAUCCCUCUCACCUGGCAUCUACCGCCACUCGAGCCACCUGGGAGGAUGGGGCUAGGGAGCAGACGGGCCAUGCCAGGGGUUCGGGGAGUAGAGAUUCCCGGUUCGUUCUCCGUCCCGGCCCGCCACCGAAGGCGGGAGGUGGGUGUUUCGGUCCCGGACGGCUUCCCCUGUCCCGGAGAGCAGCGGCCGGUUGGGCCAGCAGCUGGUGGGAGGAAGGUAGGAGCGGAGUGCCCGGGCCCGCUCGCCUGCCUAGGAGCGAGGAAGGCGCUGGGCGCGGUGGCCGGUGAGCCAACGCGGGGGACGACUUAAUUUUUGCCCUCGUUUGCUUUACUGGUUCAAAUUGGAAAAAAAAAAUUAUUUCUUAACUCACCAUCAAAGAAAUAAAGCCGCUGAAUGGCUAACCGGGCUACAGCCGGACCCUGACUCGCGCGGCGUGCGCUGCCCCUGCGGGUUUCGUUUGCAGCACCUCCGGCUCCAGAGGUGCGAGGCAGGGAGUUGCGUCUGUGGGAUAAAGCCAAGAGUCCGGCUGCCCUGCCUGAGUCCCGCUGGACUCCCCACGAAGCCCACUGGGGCUGGAACACCCGCUGCGCGAGAGAGGGAGUGGCAGGCGCGGAAGCCGGGCGGAGCAGCCCCGCCUCUGGGGGCGAAGACUGGUGGUGAACUUGGCUGGGGCAGCAGGUUUUCAUUUUAAUGGUGUUUACCUGCAGCCCUUCUUCUACAUUUGCUUUUCCAGGACAGCUGCUUUUUUUUUCUUUUUGUUUUUUUUCUGGCUCCAGAAGCGGGGGCCAAUUAGAAUAACGCUCCCGCUCCCCUGCGGGCUGCAGGACUGGGAGCUGGGACGGCUGGGCGGAGCUGCUGGCCUAACCCCGGCGAGUCCCGGCUUUUCUAUUCUUACCCAUGAAUUACCUUAGGUUACUAGUCAAUAUGUUUAAAAUUUUAUUUAAACAAAUGAAACCCCAGCAGCCUGAAAACCCAGGCCAACCCGUUUGGUACAACCACAAAGCUGUACUCUCCAGCGCUGGAGGAGGCCGAGGCCCGGAGGUUCCCAUACCCUGAGGUUCGCAGCCCCAGAGCCCCAGUCCUCUCCGGAAACCUCUUCCUGAUGAUGGGGGCCCAAACCAAAGAGCAAGUACUAUUCUGAGAACUGUGGAACUUCAUCCUUUCAUUUUAGAUUCUCCUGCCUUUGCUUGAUGGAGUCGUUUAUGAGGAAGUGGAGUCAGAAUGCAGCCAUGACAGUCCCAGGUGAUUCAGCUGGACUCUCACCAAUCCUUUUUGAUCACCAAUGAGGUGCAUAUAGAAGAGCCAGCCAGCAGAUGCAAAUUUCUAUCUUAUCUGAAGCUUCAGGCAUUCUCCACUCUCUUGAGAUCCAUUACUUGGCCCAAAUGGUUCAAUAACAAUUUUAGCUGACUUCUUUCCAGUAUCUGGCUGUGGUGGGAGCAGGUGUAUUCAUCUGUCCCAGGUCCCCAUUUCAGAGGAUGUGUUUUCCACUCUGGAAGAAAGAACCGGAGAUUUUAUGUCAAUGAGCAGGUAACCAUUUCAUGGAAGAUGAGAAGAAUGACUUCUACAAGCUCAUAUCCACAUUGUGGGGAGAAAAGAACAUGUGAGAAGACAUCAUGGAGGGCAGGGCUGUGUCCCUAGCCUCUUCACUGUGUGAUCUCAGGGAACUGAAAAUCAAUUGUGAAGACAGUCCAGAAAACAAAAAGAGACCAGGGUAACCCAAAAGGAAAGGGACCUGCCUAUGGGAGGUCUAUGGCUGUGGCAUCCAACCCCAACAGGAACAAAUGGAUGAGCUGUUCUGACAACUGAGCAGACCUUGAAUAAUGUGCACCUGAAGUCAACCACUGGAGAGUGAGCUUGUGCAGGAUGGAAAGGGAGGGUACCUGAGGGAGGGAGACUUAUCUGGGGAGAGGAAUGCUCAGACCUUAAAGGUCAAGAUGGAUGCUGGAUCCAGAGACUUGCUGCUGUCCUUGUGGAAGGGGAGACGUUAAUGAAGAAUCAGAGUUGCCAGGUGUGAGCUCACAGAACAGAGUCUCAACUGCUCUGUCCUUCUACUCUGCCAGGACCUCAUGAAGCCAGACAGUGGAGAACCUGGGUGAUUCCAUCCACAGAAGUCACCUGGGAUCCAGUGGAGCUGGAACAAAUGGAGCAUGUCCAACUGAGGCCACCUGAGAGUAACAGAAAAAAAUAUUCUGUAACAGGGAAUAAAUUAAAAAAAAUCACCAUGAAAUUUAUUUGGAUGAUUCCUUUCUGCUGGGACCAUAAAGCUUCAGUUCUCUAUUAUUUAAAAUCUCCAUAUAUUACAACAGAGACUCUUGCUUAAGUUACUGCCAAGCCAUAAGUUGGGUUUGUAAAAUAUCUCACCAAAUAAUCCUCCAUUUGUUUGUGUUUGGGGGUGAGCCCUGGGGAGUAGAUAGGGAUUUUCUGUGAACUCAGUAAGAAGGCUAGAAAAGGUCUAGGCUCAGCCCCCCAAAAAAAGACAAAAACAGAAGAAACUCACCAUAGGACAGCACUGAGCAGCCAGGCUCUGUAGAGAUUAGCCUUGGGCUUUCUUUGUGUGACCAGGUUUCCAAGUUCCUGGACCUAAAUUAGAUCGGCCAUGGCCAGGCAGACCUCCACUUACCAAAUAGUCCAAACAUACCUUAUAUCACUCAUCAACAAAUAAAUAACCUAUACUAAAUUUCUGAUAUCAUGGAGAUACAUUAUCAGACAUGAUAUAGAUUAGAGUCUAGUAAGGAAUUUAGAUGAGGCCAAUAACCUCAGCAGAAAGAAUUAUGUGAUGCACACUACUUGGAAGACCCAGCUCCAUUCCUUCCAUUUUAAUAUUUAUGGCACAGAGGAAGUCUUAACUACUCCUGGGAGCUUGCUUCUAUUGCUACAAGACACACAAUCUCUGUAUUCUUGUGAACCUAGAAGCUGAGCACAACCCCCACCCACAAACCAUGAUGGUUUCUUCAUGGGGAGAUGUGUUUCUCCCAUAUCUACCUUGAUUGGAUGCCAUUCCAUUUUCAUAAGUAGUUUCAUGUUGCCUAUCUGUGUUCUGGUGAGGGUACUUUCCAACCAGGGCCUGGGGACAGACACUGAGGGCUGCCAUCUUUUCUCUCAGAGAUCUGCCCCAGUACCCAGAGAGGUCAAUACAGAGGAGUCAGAUCUCCUAACCGUGUGAGAAGUUCUGUCUAAACUCAGCCCACUUGCAAGGAGUCCACACUCACUGUACAGAUGAUCUGAGUUUCCCAGCUAUUUAUCCAUCUCUAAGUUAAUAUUUUUCUCAGAGAUGACCAUGGAGGAAAGAUGUGAGUGUAUUGGAAAUGGUCCUCUGUGCCUCAUCAGCUCAAUCCCCCCAUAAUUACAGCCCCAUCAGAUGGGAAGGACAAAUGUGUUCCUGGAACAGGAUUCUUUAGCACUCCUCCUUCAUUACCUGGCUCUCCCUCUCUUCCAGCUCUUGCUUUAGCUACUUCCUGCUUUCCCCCAUGUAUCUUUGGACCUGAAGACCUCAGCCCUAACCUGUGGUCCUAGUGGAAGCCUAAGGGUGCUCUGGAUUUUCUGUAUUAUCCCUAUAUCUUCAUUCCUGAAUAUUCUUAGUUCUCUAAUGUAUUAUGCCCCUUAAGGAGCCCAAAAGACAAACAGAGAGAGAGGGCGGGGGAUCCUGUUUAGGGCAGUUCCAGGUUUAAGGUGGAUCCUGCUGGGAAUAGGGCAUAUCCUGCUGCCUCAGGCACCCACUCCUUGAGUUCCCGUUGAGUUCUCCUGGGAUUCAGAGAGUAUUUGGGAUGCAGAGCCCGGUGGAGGUGUGGAUUUUCCCAGAACGUGCGUGUAGAAUGCCGGUGGAUUUUCCCAGAACUUGCUGUAGAGUGCUGGUGAGAGUUCAAGAAUAAAGAGUUGCUGUUUGAAUCUA